GAAGAUUUUUUCUUUGAGCUUCUUACCAUGUCCAUUCGCAGUUUUGGAUGUCUGGAAACUUAUUGUUGCCCAUACUCUUCCCAUUGUGUAUCAAUGUCCUAUAAACUUGCCAGUGUCAGUAACAAAUUUAUCUCAUUGGCUGGGUGGUGGAACUGAAUUAAUCCUGUCCACGCUCCUUACUACAUUUCCACUCAGGACCUACUCUUAAGUUUAAGUGCGACUGACAGGUACGUCGUGCGUCUUUAGUGGACCACUUCAUGUUUGUUCCUACAGAUUGAAGAAGUGCAAAAGUAAGCUCCAAAGAAAAAUAUUUAUUCAGUUGAAGAAAUAAAAUACUGAAGCAUUGAGUUUUCCCCUAAAACGUUUCAAAUGAAUUGAGAGGACAAAGUGCAAAAGGGAUAAAUCUAUAGUCGCCAGACAAAUACAAAAAGAAUAAUCAUCCUCUUGUGAAAGUAGAGGCGUGGCUUGUGUUUCAUAUGCAAGAAAGGGAGCCCUGGUCUAUAUACUGGAUGACGAUGAAGAUGAAAUCUCUGAUUCAGAAUGACUGUUUGUUCAAGAAUUUGCAGUGGUUAUGCUCGUGUUGCUGCUGUGGUGGACCUCUAAUACUUGAAGUUGCAGACAUGAGUGUGAGAAGCAAUGCAUGUGGGCUUUCUGACUGAAGCUCUUCGACUCCACCACUCUUGGAAGGUCUUAAUCUAUACCUGCCAUGUGCCUUUUCUGCUAGGCAGGCAUUUGUCGAAGAGAAAGAUGGAGUAAAAGGUAAGUAUUUGUCUAUUAACUCAGAUAGAGUCGACCGAUGAUUCAUGGCUUUUAUCUGGUGCUGUCUUCAUGGUAUUGCUGCAAGCUCUGAGACCUCCUCAAGAGCUCCAAGCUUUUGCUUCAUCUGUAUGGGGUUAUCAUUUUCAUGUGUAAGAGAACCAAAUGUUUGGUUUGUAUUGUUUAUUCUUUGGGUUGAAUUGUUCAUGCAGUGUACUCGACUAAUGAACUUUGCGUUUGAAUGUUGAAAUCUCUCACCUGAGAUUGACUC